AGUGAACGCUGGCGGUAGGCCUAACACAUGCAAGUCGAACGGCAGCACAGUAAGAGCUUGCUCUUACGGGUGGCGAGUGGCGGAUGGGUGAGGCAUACAUCGGAAUCUACUUUUUCGUGGGGGAUAACGUAGGGAAACUUACGCUAAUACCGCAUACGACCUUCGGGUGAAAGCAGGGGAUCUUCGGCCCUUGCGCGAUUGAAUGAGCCGAUUUCGGAUUAGCUAGUUGGCGGGGUAAAGGCCCACCAAGGCGACGCUCCAUAGCUGGUCAGAGAGGAUGAGCAGCCACACUGGAACGGAGACACGGUCCAGACUGCUAAGGGAGGCAGCAGUGGGGAAUAUUGGGCAAGGGGCGGAAGCCUGAUCUAGCCAUACCGCGUGGGUGAAGAAGGCCUUCGGGUUGUAAAGCCCUUUUGUUGGGAAAGAAAAGCAGCAGGUUAAUACCCCGCUGUUCUGACGGUACCCAAAGAAUAAGCACCGGCUAACUUCGUG
rnacentral:rRNA from 1 species